rnacentral:rRNA from 1 species
GGGAAGUGGCGGGAGCUAUACAUGCAGUCGACGCUUCUUUUUCCACCGGAGCUUGCUCCACCGGAAAAAGAGGAGUGGCGAACGGGUGAGUAACACGUGGGUAACCUGCCCAUCAGAAGGGGAUAACACUUGGAAACAGGUGCUAAUACCGUAUAACAAUCGAAACCGCAUGGUUUUGAUUUGAAAGGCGCUUUCGGGUGUCGCUGAUGGAUGGACCCGCGGUGCAUUAGCUAGUUGGUGAGGUAACGGCUCACCAAGGCGACGAUGCAUAGCCGACCUGAGAGGGUGAUCGGCCACAUUGGGACUGAGACACGGCCCAAACUCCUACGGGAGGCAGCAGUAGGGAAUCUUCGGCAAUGGACGAAAGUCUGACCGAGCAACGCCGCGUGAGUGAAGAAGGUUUUCGGAUCGUAAAACUCUGUUGUUAGAGAAGAACAAGGAUGAGAGUAACUGUUCAUCCCUUGACGGUAUCUAACCAGAAAGCCACGGCUAACUACGUGCCAGCAGCCGCGGUAAUACGUAGGUGGCAAGCGUUGUCCGGAUUUAUUGGGCGUAAAGCGAGCGCAGGCGGUUUCUUAAGUCUGAUGUGAAAGCCCCCGGCUCAACCGGGGAGGGUCAUUGGAAACUGGGAGACUUGAGUGCAGAAGAGGAGAGUGGAAUUCCAUGUGUAGCGGUGAAAUGCGUAGAUAUAUGGAGGAACACCAGUGGCGAAGGCGGCUCUCUGGUCUGUAACUGACGCUGAGGCUCGAAAGCGUGGGGAGCAAACAGGAUUAGAUACCCUGGUAGUCCACGCCGUAAACGAUGAGUGCUAAGUGUUGGAGGGUUUCCGCCCUUCAGUGCUGCAGCUAACGCAUUAAGCACUCCGCCUGGGGAGUACGACCGCAAGGUUGAAACUCAAAGGAAUUGACGGGGGCCCGCACAAGCGGUGGAGCAUGUGGUUUAAUUCGAAGCAACGCGAAGAACCUUACCAGGUCUUGACAUCCUUUGACCACUCUAGAGAUAGAGCUUCCCCUUCGGGGGCAAAGUGACAGGUGGUGCAUGGUUGUCGUCAGCUCGUGUCGUGAGAUGUUGGGUUAAGUCCCGCAACGAGCGCAACCCUAUGUUAGUUGCCAUCAUUUAGUUGGGCACUCUAGCAAGACUGCCGGUGACAAACCGGAGGAAGGUGGGGAUGACGUCAAAUCAUCAUGCCCCUUAUGACCUGGGCUACACACGUGCUACAAUGGGAAGUACAACGAGUCGCAAAGUCGCGAGGCUAAGCUAAUCUCUUAAAGCUUCUCUCAGUUCGGAUUGUAGGCUGCAACUCGCCUACAUGAAGCCGGAAUCGCUAGUAAUCGCGGAUCAGCACGCCGCGGUGAAUACGUUCCCGGGCCUUGUACACACCGCCCGUCACACCACGAGAGUUUGUAACACCCGAAGUCGGUGAGGUAACCUUUGGAGCCAGCCGCCUAAGGUGAAUGAAGG